GAUCCUGGCUCAGGAUGAACGCUGGCGGCGUGCUUAACACAUGCAAGUCGAACGAAGCGCUUAAGAUUGAUUCUUCGGAUGAAGUUUUUUGUGACUGAGUGGCGGACGGGUGAGUAACGCGUGGGUAACCUGCCUCAUACAGGGGGAUAACAGUUAGAAAUGACUGCUAAUACCGCAUAAGCGCACAGGGUCGCAUGACCUGGUGCGAAAAACUCCGGUGGUAUGAGAUGGACCCGCGU
rnacentral:rRNA from 1 species